rnacentral:rRNA from 1 species
CCUACGGGUGGCUGCAGUGAGGAAUAUUGGUCAAUGGGCGGAAGCCUGAACCAGCCAAGUAGCGUGCAGGAUGACGGCCCUACGGGUUGUAAACUGCUUUUAUACGGGAAUAACGCGCCUUACGUGUAGGGCUUUGCAUGUACUGUAUGAAUAAGGACCGGCUAAUUCCGUGCCAGCAGCCGCGGUAAUACGGAGGGUCCGGGCGUUAUCCGGAUUUAUUGGGUUUAAAGGGAGCGUAGGCCGUUUGUCAAGCGUGUUGUGAAAUGUUGGGGCUCAACCCGAGCCUUGCAGCGCAUACUGGCGGGCUUGAGUCCACGGAAGGCAGGCGGAAUUCGUGGUGUAGCGGUGAAAUGCUUAGAUAUGACGAAGAACCCCGAUUGCGAAGGCAGCUUACUGAACCGGAACUGACGCUGAUGCUCGAAAGCGCGGGUAUCAAACAGGAUUAGAUACCCCAGUAGUC